rnacentral:rRNA from 2 species
UGGCGCCUUCGGUGUCCGAGUUGUAAUUUGAAGAAGGUAACUUUGGUUUUGGCUCUUGUCUAUGUUCCUUGGAACAGGACGUCACAGAGGGUGAGAAUCCCGUGCGAUGAGAUGCCCAAUUCCAUGUAAAGUGCUUUCGAAGAGUCGAGUUGUUUGGGAAUGCAGCUCUAAGUGGGUGGUAAAUUCCAUCUAAAGCUAAAUAUUGGCGAGAGACCGAUAGCGAACAAGUACAGUGAUGGAAAGAUGAAAAGAACUUUGAAAAGAGAGUGAAAAAGUACGUGAAAUUGUUGAAAGGGAAGGGUUUGAGAUCAGACUUGGUAUUUUGUAUGUUUUACUCUCGGGUGAGGCCUCUGCAGUUUACUGGGCCAGCAUCAGUUUGGAUGGUAGGAUAAUGACAUUGGAAUGUGGCUCUUCGGAGUGUUAUAGCCCUUGUUGAUAC